rnacentral:rRNA from 1 species
UCGGGAAUUUUGCACAAUGGCCGAAAGGCUGAUGCAGCAACGCCGCGUGAGCGAAGAAGGCCUUCGGGUUGUAAAGCUCUGUUGCCUGCGAAGAAGGGCCCCGUCAGGAAAUGGGCGGGGUUUGACGGUAGCAGGCGAGGAAGCCCCGGCAAACUACGUGCCAGCAGCCGCGGUAAUACGUAGGGGGCGAGCGUUGUCCGGAAUUACUGGGCGUAAAGGGCGUGUAGGCGGCCUGUUAAGUCAGGGGUGAAAGACCGGGGCUCAACCCCGGGGGUGCCUCUGAAACUGGCGGGCUUGAGUGCUCUAGAGGGCAGUGGAAUUCCCGGUGUAGCAGUGAAAUGCGUAGAGAUCGGGAGGAACACCAGUGGCGAAGGCGGCUGCCUGGGGAGUCACUGACGCUGAGGCGCGAAAGCUAGGGGAGCAAACA